AACGAACGCUGGCGGCAUGCCUAACACAUGCAAGUCGAACGAGACCUUCGGGUCUAGUGGCGCACGGGUGCGUAACGCGUGGGAACCUGCCCUUAGGUUCGGAAUAACUCCCCGAAAGGGGUGCUAAUACCGGAUAAUGUAUCCGGACCAAAGAUUUAUCGCCUUUGGAUGGGCCCGCGUUGUAUCAGCUAGUUGGUAGGGUAAACGCCUACCAAGGCGACGAUCCAUAGCUGGGUUGAGAGGAUGAUCAACCACACUGGGGCUGAGACACGGCCCAGACUCCUAGAGGAGGCAGCAGUGGGGAAUAUUGGACGAUGGGCGAAAGCCUGAUCCAGCAAUGCCGCGAAAGUGAUGAAGGCCUUAGGGUUGUAAAGCUCUUUUACACGGGAUGAUAAUGACAGUACCGGGAGAAUAAGCGCCGGCUAACUCCGUG
rnacentral:rRNA from 1 species